rnacentral:rRNA from 1 species
CCAGACUCCUACGGGAGGCAGCAGUGGGGGAUAUUGCACAAUGGAGGAAACUCUGAUGCAGCGACGCCGCGUGAGGGAAGACGGUCUUCGGAUUGUAAACCUCUGUCUUUGGGGAAGAAAAUGACGGUACCCAAAGAGGAAGCUCCGGCUAACUACGUGCCAGCAGCCGCGGUAAUACGUAGGGGGCAAGCGUUAUCCGGAUUUACUGGGUGUAAAGGGCGCGUAGGCGGGAUGGCAAGUCAGAUGUGAAAUCCAAGGGCUCAACCCUUGAACUGCAUUUGAAACUGUCGUUCUUGAGUACUGGAGAGGUUGACGGAAUUCCUAGUGUAGCGUUGAAAUGCGUAGAUAUUAGGAGGAACACCAGUGGCGAAGGCGACUUUCUGGACUGUACCUGACGCUGAGGCGCGAAAGCGUGGGUAGCGACCGGGAUUAGAUACCCGCGUACU